rnacentral:rRNA from 1 species
AGCAGCUGCGGUAAUUCCAGCUCCAAUAGCGUAUAUUAAAGUUGUUGCAAUUAAAAAGCUCGUAGUUGAAUUUUGGGGUCAGUAGGUUGGUCAUGCCACCAGUAUGUACUGGUCUCACUGAUUCCUCCUUCCUGAAGAACCGUAAUGCCAUUAAUUUGGUGUUGCGGGGAAACUGGACUGUUACUUUGAAAAAAUUAGAGUGUUUAAAGCAGGCUAACGCUUGAAUACAUUAGCAUGGAAUAAUGAAAUAGGACGUUUGAUCCUAUUUUGUUGGUUUCUAGGAUCGACGUAAUGAUUAAUAGGGAUAGUUGGGGGCAUUAGUAUUCAAUUGUCAGAGGUGAAAUUCUUGGAUUUAUUGAAGACUAACUACUGCGAAAGCAUUUGCCAAGGAUGUUUUCAUUAAUCAAGAACGAAAGUUAGGGGAUCGAAGACGAUCAGAUACCGUCGUAGUCUUAACCAUAAACUAUGCCGACUAGGGAUCGGAUGAUGUUAAUUUUUAAUGUACUCAUUCGGCGCCUUA